CAAUUGCCAGAUGAAUAGAUAAACAAAAUAUAGCAAAUAUAUACAAUGGAAUAUAUUCAGCCUUCAAUAAGGAGAGAGAAUUCUGACAUAUGCUUCAACAUGAAUGAACUCUGAAGACACUGCAAGGGAACAUAUUGAAAGAUGGACUCCUGCAACUUCUCAGAAUGCAAGAUACUACACAGGUUCUGCUUGGACCACUGACAACACGCAAGUUAAUUCUCUGAGUAGAGAGGCAGGUUCUUUACCUAAUGUCACCUGCUGCUGCUGCUGCUAAGUCGCUUCAGUUGUGUCCGACUCUGUGCAACCCCAGAGAUGGCAGCCCACCAGGCUCCCCCGUCCCUGGGAUUCUCCAGGCAAGAACUCUGGAG
ensembl:lncRNA